rnacentral:rRNA from 1 species
AUUGAACGCCGGCGGCAUGCUUUACACAUGCAAGUCGAACGGCAGCGCGGGCUUCGGCCUGGCGGCGAGUGGCGAACGGGUGAGUAAUGCAUCGGAACGUGCCCAGUAGUGGGGGAUAGCCCGGCGAAAGCCGGAUUAAUACCGCAUACGACCUGAGGGUGAAAGCGGGGGACCGAAAGGCCUCGCGCUAUUGGAGCGGCCGAUGUCGGAUUAGCUAGUUGGUGGGGUAAAGGCUUACCAAGGCGACGAUCCGUAGCUGGUCUGAGAGGACGACCAGCCACACUGGGACUGAGACACGGCCCAGACUCCUACGGGAGGCAGCAGUGGGGAAUUUUGGACAAUGGGGGCAACCCUGAUCCAGCCAUGCCGCGUGCGGGAAGAAGGCCUUCGGGUUGUAAACCGCUUUUGUUCGGGAAGAAAUCCUCUGGGCUAAUACCCCGGGGGGAUGACGGUACCGGAAGAAUAAGCACCGGCUAACUACGUG